CUCCCGGUAGCUCAACGGAACAGAGCAGCGCGGUCCUGACGCGCGGGUUGCGGGUUCGAGUCCCGCCCGGGAGA
rnacentral:tRNA from 1 species